rnacentral:lncRNA from 1 species
CGAAAGAUAACAGUAUGGGCUAUGUAAAGAUGAGAGAGUAAAGGGUUGAGAGAUUAUUGCCCCCCCAAUCUUGGCCUGGGGUGUGGCUCUUAUGCCUCGGUACUGUGCCCUCUCCGAUUGUGAUCUUAUCUGGUCUACUCUCUGAUUGGGCAUGAAUAUCGUUGGUUGGUGAGUCGGCUCCAGUCGGCACGGUUGGUUCACUAUCAAGGUACAGGUUUAUCCUUGUAUCUCCUCCGUGCCGAUGUAGGAGUGUUGAUGUGGUGAACCAGCGAUGGAAGUCUACAAGGGAAGCGAUUUGCUGGGGCUGAUCUGACCUUGGAGCGGUAGGCGUGGUAGAGGAACUGAGAUCUGCUCGGCAACGAGGUCCUCUUUUGGCUGUUGGGUCAUCUUCCCGGCUCGAACCCUUCGAUGCUUAAGUCAGUGUAAGGCGGAGGAGGCGAAAGACAGCAGUAUGAGCUGUGUAAAGAUGACAGAGUAAAGGGUUGAGAGAUUGUUGCCUCCUUAAUCUUGGCCUGGGGUGUGGCUCUUAUGCUUGGGUGUCAUGCCCUCUCCGAUUGUGAUCUUAUCUGGUCUACUCUCUGAUUGAGCAUGAAUACCGUUGGAUGGUGAGUCGGAUCCAGUUGGCACGGUUGGUUCACUGCCAAAGGUGCAAGUUCAUCCUUGUGUCUCCUCGUGCCGAUGUGGGAGUGUUGAUGUGGUGAACCAGCGCUGGAAGUCUACAAGGGAGGCGGUUUGCUAGGGCUGAUCUGACGUUGGAGUAGUGAGGCCUGGUAGAGGAACUGGGAUUUGCUCGGCAGUGAGGUCCUCUCUUGGUCGUUGGGUCAUCUUUAAGAUGCGAGGUUGUCUCCUGGGCAC